GCGGAAGUGUCGGAAUUGGCAGACGAGCAAGAUUCAGGUUCUUGUAGGCUUCGGUCUGUGUGGGUUCAAGUCCCAUCUUCCGCA
rnacentral:tRNA from 1 species